rnacentral:rRNA from 1 species
GUCCACGCCGUAAACGAUGGAUACUAGCUGUUGGGAGCAAUUUCAGUGGUUAAGCGAAAGUGAUAAGUAUCCCACCUGGGGAGUACGGGCGCAAGCCUGAAACUCAAAAGGAAUUGACGGGGGCCCGCACAAGCGGUGGAGCAUGUGGUUUAAUUCGAUGAUACGCGAGGAACCUUACCAAGGCUUAAAUGGGAAUUGACCGGCGUGGAAACAUGCUUUUCGCAAGACAAUUUUCAAGGUGCUGCAUGGUUGUCGU